CCUACGGGUGGCAGCAGUGGGGAAUAUUGGACAAUGGGCGAAAGCCUGAUCCAGCCAUGCCGCGUGUGUGAAGAAGGCCUUCGGGUUGUAAAGCACUUUCAGUGGGGAAGAAAGCCUUGGGGCUAAUACCCUCGAGGAAGGACAUCACCCACAGAAGAAGCACCGGCUAACUCCGUGCCAGCAGCCGCGGUAAUACGGAGGGUGCGAGCGUUAAUCGGAAUUACUGGGCGUAAAGCGCGCGUAGGCGGUCUGAUAAGCCGGUUGUGAAAGCCCCGGGCUCAACCUGGGAAUGGCAUCCGGAACUGUCAGGCUAGAGUGCAGGAGAGGAAGGUAGAAUUCCCGGUGUAGCGGUGAAAUGCGUAGAGAUCGGGAGGAAUACCAGUGGCGAAGGCGGCCUUCUGGACUGACACUGACGCUGAGGUGCGAAAGCGUGGGUAGCAAACAGGAUUAGAUACCCGUGUAGUC
rnacentral:rRNA from 1 species